rnacentral:rRNA from 2 species
UACGUAGGUGGCAAGCGUUGUCCGGAUUUACUGGGCGUAAAGGGAGCGUAGGCGGACUUUUAAGUGGGAUGUGAAAUACUCAGGCUCAACCUGAGGGCUGCAUUUCAAACUGGAAGUCUAGAGUGCAGGAGAGGAGAGUGGAAUUCCUAGUGUAGCGGUGAAAUGCGUAGAGAUUAGGAAGAACACCAGUGGCGAAGGCGACUCUCUGGACUGUAACUGACGCUGAGGCUCGAAAGCGUGGGGAGCAAACAGG